GGCGCUUUGGCGGAGUGGUUAACGCGUUGCCCUGCUAUUACAUUACGUAAUAACCUAGGCAAUCUCUUCGGAGGCGCAGGUUCGAUCCCUGCAGGCGUCG